GCAUAAGGAAAUAUAUAUGUUCUACACAAUAACGCUCACGACAAUAUUCCCGCAUUUUAUAGCAAGGACCAUAUCGUGGUGAGGGUCAUGAGGCAAACGCAGAAGUUGUGAACGUGAUAGACGAAACGCAAAACGUACACACUAACCGUCAGACGGCGCUCACUGUGCGGCAGCAUUUUUCUUAGAAUCGUAACAAUAACUCCUGACUGACGCUAAAACAAACGCACAGUACUCGGAGUAAACGAAGUGAAGUAAAUUAAAUUGCUACGCAUUAGCACCUUGGACAGCAAAUAUAUUUUGAAACGGAAAAAUGAUCGAUAAUCUUAUGCUAAUUGUAAUAACGAGUUCCGAGUAUGCAGUCACUUUUAUAUUCACGUGCAAUGUACGCACGCGUAGAAAGGCAAAUGGUUUUUCAGAAAAUUUGUUCUGUAUUCCAAUUUGGAGCCAUCUUCGCGCUUUCUUUUUUCACACUAAUAACGACUUACAAAGUCGCACAAGCUAUGUGUAGACGCCAUCUUAAAAUUGGGUAGAGGGGUUGCUUACACAGCGUUAGAAUAUUGAGUUUAAAACGGAUAUCACAUCUUAUAGUGACCACCCGUGGCUACGUUUAGCAUAAAGACAGCGAUAGCAAUGCACUGAAUUAAACGUAAUAAUUUUUCAAGCUACCCGCCGCGGUAGCUUAGUGGCUAUGACGUUUCGCUGUUCUCGAGGUCGCGGAUUCUAUAUCGGCCGUGGCGGUCACACUUCAAGGGGGGCGAAGUGCACUCCUGCACUUAGAUUUAGUCGCACGAUAAAGAGCUAGUCAAAACAAAUGCAGUCUCCCGCUACGGCGUGCCUCAUAACCAGAUCGUGGUUCUGGCAGGUAAAACCUCACAAUUUAAUUAUAUUGUUAUAUUUGAAGAGACAAGCUGGCACAUGUUUGGAUAUUAUACAAAGCAGUAUAACGUGGCACAAGGCAGCAUGAUGCCGAUUCGCUCCACUCUGUAAAGUUAGGAAAUUCAACGCUACAAAUAGCAAAGCUCUCAUGCUAGAGCAAGAGUAAUCAAGAGAAGUUAAGGGCUCGAUAUUUUUUUAGCAACAACUAUAUCAGGCCUAGAAGAACUUUCUGUGGGCCUAGUUGGCACAUACUUGAUGAACUUUUUAAAGCGCAAACAAGAGACAAGGCACAUAAGGAAGGUCAGGCACAGGACAGGCGUUACUUUCAACUGUUUAUUCCACAACGUCGUCAUGAAAUAUAUAGGCACAUGCGCAGAAACGUUUAAUGAAAAGAAAAAAAAAACACCAUUUUCAUGACGACGUUAUGGAAUAAACAGCGCAAAGUAGCGCCUGUCCUGUGCCCGACCUUCCUUUUGUGCCUUGUCUCUUGUUUGCGCUUUAAAAAGUUUAUCAUAUACAGAAAUGAAAUGAAAUUGGCCUACAGACAAUGAAAAAAAGCAGAGCAUACAGGAAAUAAGCUUUGUUUUAUUUCACAUGUAGAAAUAAAUAAAAAAGAUGUCUCAGAAAUUAUUGACGCGAGCUGAUUGUCAAAGUAAACACCUUAUGCGAACCGUAGAACUGCUUACGUCGAUAACGGCAUUAAUGACGGCACAAGUUAUCGACGACAUGUUUCGGUAAACUGCAUGACAGUGUGACGACGACGACGGCAGCACGAGCAAGAUGACAUGGCGACAACGGCGCGGUAUACGACGCGACUACGCAAUGACGGCAGCGCACCUGUUGUUUUGCUUACUCCACGGGGGUCAGAUGUGCCUCCGACCAUUAGCUUUAGGAACAUGCCGGCCCCAUGCACUGUGGGAGUCGGUCUAAGCGAAGCUGUGCUGAGCCGGCAAGAUGAAACGGCGCAUCUUGCCAGCUCAGAGACGUGUAGCGGUCUUUGUAGAGAAACGCGACACAGCGCUACCACCGACCACGGUAUCUAAACCAUAUCUAAACUUUCAGAUGCAAUAAAUCUCUCGCGCGACAGCACACGCGUCUCAAACAACUAGUAUACACGACUCCCCGUAAGCCGCGCUUACGCGACAGCAGGUGCCCUUUGCAUCGGCGGGGACCGUCCUGGCGUCGACCACGUAAAAAGGGCCAAAGAAAGCUUUAAGCGGGAGAUUAAAGUCGAAGAGACAACUUGCCGUCGGGGGGAGCCGAACUCCCAACCUCUGUGACACGAGUGAUGCGUAUAACAAGUGAGUCAAUGUCCCCUAUGCUUUCUUUGGUUUCCUUCUCUGUUACUUUCAUGUGAGGCAGUGUCAGCUGGCAAUGCUUGUUUAAAAUAUGGUUGAUUGUAAUUUCCCGACAU
rnacentral:lncRNA from 1 species